rnacentral:rRNA from 1 species
CAGCAGCCGCCGCGGGAAAACGUAGGUGGCAAGCGUUGUCCGGAAUUAUUGGGCGUAAAGGGCUCGCAGGCGGUUUCUUAAGUCUGAUGUGAAAGCCCCCGGCUCAACCGGGGAGGGUCAUUGGAAACUGGGAAACUUGAGUGCAGAAGAGGAGAGUGGAAUUCCACGUGUAGCGGUGAAAUGCGUAGAGAUGUGGAGGAACACCAGUGGCGAAGGCGACUCUCUGGUCUGUAACUGACGCUGAGGAGCGAAAGCGUGGGGAGCGAACAGGAUUAGAUACCCGCGUAGUCCCUGUCUCUUAUAC